rnacentral:lncRNA from 1 species
GGGCAAAGCAGCAUUAGUCAUUUGCCCUGUGGCCUGGGGACCGACCUGUCCUAAACAGUCCUUUUCUAGACAUGGGAAGGAAGCUCUGGCCGUAGACACAGCACUAGGCAUAUUCGUAUCCAGUGGAGCUUCCAAGAAGUGUGCCCAGCUGGGCUGGAAAGAAAAAAGACUGGAAAAAGGGACUCCGAUGCCGGUUGUCUAAACAGAGAGAGUGUUUCCCUCCUGGACAGGAUCACCCUAUAUAAGACACCCCUCCACCUCCACCAUUGGCCUUCAUAUCGAGGAUUAGCUUGGCGUCCCGAGCUCGCUCGCGGAGGGAACGACCCUGCGCGCGUCCGCCCGGCCGGCUCCGACACAAACACACGCACGUGCGCCCCGCCCCCGCCGCGCGC